rnacentral:rRNA from 1 species
UACAGAGGAGCCAAGCGUUGUCCGGAUUGACUGGGCGUAAAGCGCACGCAGGCGGAUGCGCGCGUGGGGUGUGAAAUCUGGCCGCUUAACGGCCAGGCGCCAUCCCAUACGGCGCGUCUGGAGUGAUGCAGAGGUCGGUGGAAUUCCCGGUGUAGCGGUGAAAUGCGCAGAUAUCGGGAAGAACACCCGUGGCGAAGGCGGCUCUCUGGGACGGUACUGACGCUGAGACGCGAAAGCGUGGGGAGCGAACAGG